rnacentral:rRNA from 1 species
GACGAACGCUGGCGGCGUGCUUAACACAUGCAAGUCGAACGGCAAGGCCCUGCUUUUGUGGGGUGCUCGAGUGGCGAACGGGUGAGUAACACGUGAGUAACCUGCCCUUGACUUUGGGAUAACUUCAGGAAACUGGGGCUAAUACCGGAUAGGAGCUCCUGCUGCAUGGUGGGGGUUGGAAAGUUUCGGCGGUUGGGGAUGGACUCGCGGCUUAUCAGCUUGUUGGUGGGGUAGUGGCUUACCAAGGCUUUGACGGGUAGCCGGCCUGAGAGGGUGACCGGCCACAUUGGGACUGAGAUACGGCCCAGACUCCUACGGGAGGCAGCAGUGGGGAAUAUUGCACAAUGGGCGGAAGCCUGAUGCAGCAACGCCGCGUGCGGGAUGACGGCCUUCGGGUUGUAAACCGCUUUCGCCUGUGACGAAGCGUGAGUGACGGUAAUGGGUAAAGAAGCACCGGCUAAGUACGUG